rfam:Ictidomys tridecemlineatus contig099843, whole genome shotgun sequence.
GGGGAUAUAGCUCAGUUGGUAGAGUGCUUGCCUUGCAUGCACAAGGCCCUGGGUUCAAUCCCCAGUACCACAA